UAUCAACUAUAGGGUGCUUAUGAUCAUUGCCUCUUCCGAUAAAUAUCCCCCAAUUCAGAUUAUUCAAACGAACAAACAUAUCGAAUUCGGCCCACAUAAUUUUUUCAACCGAAUCGUCUGAAUAACAAAAAAGGAAGAAAACUUUCUGCAAAACCGGUAAGAGAUCAAUGAACUGGAUUCAACGCAAGAUCUAUCUCUAUAAUGUGACGUUUGGACUUUACAUGUUGGAUUGGUGGGAGCGUUAUCUUUUCAAUAUAUUGGUGAUUGUGCUGAUGUGGUUCAUCUUUUACAAUAGCUCACGAUAUGUGACUGAAUUUUUCAAAAGGCAUCUAACAUGAGUCUCAGUAGUCGCACCAGCUUGAAACUGUGGCAAUGGAAAUGUGGGAGCAAAAUUUUCAAAUGUUGAUUUGGAAUUGUGCAUGUUUUGUAUUGAUUCUAUACCUAGCCAUAAGGAUUUUGUUGUAAUUUACAUACUCGUUUUUCCCCUCAAUUUUAUUUUUUUAUGAUGCAAUUAUCAUUAAAAUUCUGAACUUGUUUUCUAAUUGUUGAAAGUAUUUACUGCAA